GACAGGGAGCAGGAUCCACCGUCGCUCAUCUCGUAAAAGCCUGGACGGAGCAGACAAGGCAGAUCAGCCUGACGAAGCGGCCAUCUCCCUGCACGGACACUAGGAUACCUGGAAUGGAAUUUCAGCCCAAGAGGGGCUGGCGGGAUAGGCUUCACCUCUGCCUGUGCUGCGUGCCUGCCCCUGUGUCCGGGAGGUCAGGGCGCCCUGGUACCUGAGCUGGGCCUGCUGUCGCUGUCCAGGGCCUCCCCUGAGGCUGUGCCCACAUCCAGCUGCAGCUUGCUAAUCUGCAGGUCCAGCUGGUCCAGGUGCGGUGGCGUCCUUUCACUCGGCCGCCUCUGGGUCCUUGGUGCCUGGGGAGCACAAACCUUUUGACUUUUCAAGAAGGUCCCGUCUACGUCUGCAGGACUCCACCACUCAGGAUUCACGCCGCGCUUGUAACCCCGACCGCGCUUGUAACCCCGACCGCUGUCCCGAACUUGGGGUUUGUUUGACUGUGGUUUUCAUUAACUCUUUCUUAGGGUCAGACAUUGUGCUCACAGUCACAAAAUAUAUGUGGCCAGGAAGGAGGACAGUCCACUGCAAGGCCAGCCCUAGAGCGUGAUCUCCACGCAUGUCCAUGAUUGGACCGACUCACUCCACAGCAGCAAGCGAGCCCUGGAUGGCCGUGCUCCACUUCCCUCUGCAAGCGUUCAGGCUAACUCCAGGCGGCCUUGCUCACGGUGUGCUCUGGGGGCAUCUAUGCCAAACCCCUGGGCCUGGGGAAGGGGCAUGAGGGCCUGGUAUAAAGGCGCUCAUACCAAGCCUCUCCAGGCAGUGGGAUCAGCUGGGCACACCUGCAGACCCCAGGCUCCAGGCCCCACUCGUUUCUUGAGACUCUACCAGGUAAGCCUGGGAACCUGCAUUUUAACAAGCUUCCCAGGGACCACACAAGUUCCUUAAGACAACAAAAAGUUUGAGGAUUUCUAUUCCAGGGGGUACCGUUAAAAAAAAUAAGUUAAUCCCUUUCUUUGCAAUGCAUUCUUUACGCACCACAAGAGAAUGACCUGAUUUCCCUGUGCUGUGCCUUUUCCCUGGGCAAGUCAACAGUCCAGACAUCGCAACACCUUUACGGCACAUGUGGAGGAUAAACAUGAAAAAUGCCUUACUGUUCAGGAUAUGGAGAUGGGAUCUGAAACACCUCCUUUCUAUCCCUGAGAGCUAGGAUGCACAAAGGAAACAUUCUAUGCCUGAAUUCCAAGGCUAUCCCCUCCAUUCAGGAGAGAGGUAAAUGCUGUUACCUAAGUUUAAAGGAGGUCUGUCAAUCAACAGCAAAGGGGUCCCUGGUCCACAGACUGGACUUGUGGAUAAAAAGGAGCACUGAAGUCUUGCAGGUUUCUGGGGCUGCCUGGCUCUAAUGCGUGGCCCUGAGCAAGUUCUCACCCUGCCUCCCUUGGUUCCCGUGUGCUCACAAAGCAAGCACAGCCGGCCCAAGAAAAAUGCCAGGCAUCAUGUUGAUGCGGCAGAAUCAGACGCGCAGCUUGCUCCUGCAGCAUGGAAUGUGGGAAGCUGCCAGGGAAAAGGAAUUGUUGCAAGCUGCCACUUUCAGAACAAGUCAUGACCAGCCAUGUCAAGACGGGGAAAUUCUUCAGGAUAAGAUUUCACUGCAGACUCCCGGAGCCCUUCUGUGUCUCUCCCGCUGUGGAGACAGCGCCCACUGGUGAAGGAUGGGGUUUUCAGUCUACUCAUGGGCCCUGAGUUCCAGGGAGUGGAUGAAGUCCUUCUAUCUAGGGCUUGUUGGGGAACCUAACCCUUAUGAAUAUGGGAAUGGCCGGCACUUCUUGGGAACGACAAGUUUCCUCACAGACAUACAUGAGGACACAGUCAACCCUCUCUGGACUGGCCACACAGCAGCAAACCCACUUGGGUCGGAGGGCACGGGGAUCUCAUCAGCUUAGAAACCCAGAACAGGGAGAUCCCAACUUCUGAAAUCAUUUUCCCUUUUGUUGCAGCAAUACAAGUCACUCAUCUAUUUAUUCAGCAAAAUCCUACUAAGCACCCUCUACUGCACUCUCUUGUGGCACAGUAAUUAAAACGCUGCAGCACAUUGCGACAAGCCUUGAAGUGAUGAGUGCUGCUAUUUUCCUGACUGUUUAAAUCCCUGCAAAUGGUAACAAUCGUUCUCACCUGAGAAUUCCUGCAGGCUAAAUCUGCUCAAGGUCUGAUAAAUGUUCUUCCUGCCUUCACACCUGAAUGAUGACCAAUGGACAGGUGAGCACCAGGGUGGGCGGAGGGAACCCUGAGUUAGCCGGGAGCUGCUGGAGUGUGUAACUGUUCCAGCAAGCAAGGCUGUUCAUUGUAUUCAACACUAUAGAACUGCUAUCACUCCUAAUGUUUUUCCCUGUAAGAAAAAUGUAAAAGUGUUAAGCCCUGGGCUGAUGUCACACAAAUUCAAUUAUUCUUCUCUUUUGAUCACAUAAUCUGUCCCGAGAACAAAGUUUCAAAACAAAGUCUGCGUGUUCCUUCUGGUCCCCACAUUAAAAAAUAAUAAUAAAAUAAACAAAAAUCUGUUUGAUCUUCUCUUCCAAAAGGCUACUUGUAAUUAGAGACUGAGCGCUUGCAAGUUUGAUUUGUAUAUUUCUUAAGCCAAG
rnacentral:lncRNA from 1 species